CUUGGUCAUUUAGAGGAAGUAAAAGUCGUAACAAGGUUUCCGUAGGUGAACCUGCGGAAGGAUCAUCAUCGAUUCUGAAGGAUGUGCUGGCUUAAUUGCAUGUGCACUCCGAAACCCUUUACCCCUGUGCACUUUUUGUAGGCAUAGAGAAAGGAUACAUUUAUGUGUCCAAGUAUUUAUGUCUAUGAUUUUAUACACUCUUAUAAUUUAAAGAAUGUUCAAGUAGACUUACUUAAAGUCGAAAUAUAAAACAACUUUCAACAACGGAUCUCUUGGUUCUCGCAUCGAUGAAGAACGCAGCGAAUUGCGAUAUGUAAUGUGAAUUGCAGAAUUCAGUGAAUCAUCGAAUCUUUGAACGCACAUUGCACCCUUUGGUAUUCCAAAGGGUAUGCCUGUUUGAGUAUCAUUAAUCUCUCAACACAACAAGUUUAUUCUUGUUCGUGCUUGGAUUUUGAAGGCUUGCUGGUAUCACUAUCAGCUCCUUUUAGAUGUAUUAGCAGGACUUGUUAGACCAGCUUCGGUUUGAUAAUAACUUAUCUAUGCUGUCGCUGAGAAACUAUUGUUCAGCUUCUAAUUGUCUGUUUACCAGACUGUCUCUUAUGAGGCAUAUAUUAAAUCUUGAUCUCAAAUCAGGUAGGACUACCCGCUGAACUUAAGCAUAUCAAUAAGCGGAGGAAAAGAAACUAACAAGGAUUCCCCUAGUAACUGCGAGUGAAGAGGGAAAAGCUCAAAUUUAAAAUCUGGCAGUCUUCGGCAGCCCGAGUUGUAAAUUAGAGAAGUGUUAUCCGCGCUAGCCUGUGCAAAAGUCUCUUGGAAAAGAGCAUCAUAGAGGGUGACAAUCCCGUCUUUGGCACAGAUCACUGGGGCUUUUGUGAUACACUCUCGACGAGUCGAGUUGUUUGGGAAUGCAGCUCUAAAUGGGUGGUAAAUUCCAUCUAAAGCUAAAUAUUGGCGAGAAACCGAUAGCGCACAAGUACCGUGAGGGAAAGAUGAAAAGAACUUUGAAAAGAGGGUUAAACAGUACGUGAAAUUGUUGAAAGGGAAACGCUUGAAGUCAGUCGUGUCCUGUAGAAAUCACCCCAGCUCUGGUUGGGUUUACUUUCUAUGAGACAGGUCAACAUCAAUUUUGAUCGUUGGAUAAAGGCUGAGGGAAUGUGGCACCUCCGGGUGUGUUAUAGACCUUGGUUAUAUACAAUGGUUGGGAUUGAGGAACUCAGUACGCCUUUGGUUGGGCUUCGGCUACGAUACGUACUUAGGAUGUUGGCAUAAUGGCUUUAAUCGACCCGUCUUGAAACACGGACC
rnacentral:rRNA from 1 species